rnacentral:rRNA from 1 species
AUUGAACGCUGGCGGCAGGCCUAACACAUGCAAGUCGAGCGAGCGGCGGACGGGUGAGUAAUACGUGGGUAACCUGCCCUUCAGAGGGGGACAACAGUUGGAAACGACUGCUAAUACCGCAUACUGAAGGAGGGGAUUGCGUCUGAUUAGCUAGUUGGUGGGGUAAAGGCCUACCAAGGCGACGAUCAGUCGCGGGGCUGGUAGGAGGAUCCGCCACACUGGGACGGAGACACGGGCCAGACUCAUACGGGAGGCAGCAGGGGGGAAUUUUGGACAAUGGGCGCAAGCCUGAUGCAGCCAUGCCGCGUGUCUGAAGAAGGCCUUCGGGUUGUAAAGGACGUUUGUUAGGGAAGCGGUACCUAAAGAAUAAGCACCGGCUAACUACGUGCCAGCAGCCGCGGUAAUA